UGAGAUGUGGUGUAAUUGGUAACACACGUGACUUUGACUCACGCGAGUGCUGGUUCGAUCCCAGCCGUCUCAA
rnacentral:tRNA from 1 species